AUAACAAUAUUUAUCAAAACGUUAAUUACAAUAUCCACCACCAUGUAAAUAACAAUACUCAUGACACUGCCAAAAACAAUGACCAUCACAAUAUCUAUAACAACAAACAAAUCAAUAUUAAUAAUGACGAUUUUUACGAUUCCUACAAAAAUAUUAACGAGACACUCUCAAAAAAUUUAAAUAAUCAGAUGUAUCCUAAAAAAAAGGAAGAAAAAAGUAUAGAUGCACCUUAUUUGAAUUAUAAUAAUAAACAAAUCAAAACAAAUGAACAUGGACAAAACUUUUAUAUGAAUAGUAAUCAUAACAUUUUCAGUAAUACAAUGCAAAAUGAUAGUAUCUACAACAAUGACCUUUAUAACAGUAACGUGUAUGACAAUACCAUAUUAAACAAUACCGUUCUAAACAAUACUAUGCAUAACAGUACGGUGCUAAACAAUACUGUACUAAACAAAAACGUACUUAACAACGACACACUCAACAACAACACACUCAACAACAACACACUUAACAACAACACACUCAACAACAACACACUCAACAACAACACAAUCAACAACAACACAAUCAACAACAACACAAUCAACAACAACACAAUCAACAACACCGUAUUCAACAAUAGCGCUAUUCAGAAUAUUAUCCUGAACAAACAUAUAUGCAAAAAUCGUAUUAAUAACGAAAACAUUUUUAACAACAAUGACAAUAUCAAUGACGACAUUAAUAGCAUAAUGAAAUAUAAGAAUUACAAAAAAAAUACUUUUUAUAACCUUAACACUAACGCAAACUCUUCAACAUACAUGGAAACAGAAAGUAACAAGAACAUUAACAACUUACGCGCAACUAAUGUUUAUUCUGGUAGAAUGCACACAAUAGAUAAUCCCAUGGUCAAAAAUAACCUUAUUAAUUAUAACAAUGGUAAAACUUUAUUUUUAAACUCUCAUGAAUUUAUAAAUAGAACCAAUAAUGGGUAUCUUAAUAAUAGCAUAACUAAUAUAGAAAAACAUACAAAUACUGCUCAUUAUAAGUAUAAAAAUGAUAACAUAUUAACUAAUAAAAAUAAUGUUAUCGUGUCAGAUAAUGACAGUAAUAGCAAGGGUACUAAUGCGUUUAGUAAGGCUCAUACGUAUAAUAUCAAUAAUAGCAGUUAUAAAAAAGCACAAACAGAUGUAAUUUGUUUGAUUAAACAACAAAAAGAUAUAUAUGACACUCCUGUUAAUCAAAAAGGGA
rnacentral:lncRNA from 1 species